CCAGCCCUUCCGUUCGUUAGACUCGUUUUUGAGACAUGAAGUAUUCUAACGCUAAUGAACAAUUGCACGCUACCUAACCGAGGCAUCACUUCUAAAAUUUGAAGGAGUCUGGUGUGUCUGCUCACAUGAAUGGAAGCAGAGGGAAGUGCCACAUAAUACAGUGUUGAUCUCAUUUCUUGUGCAACACGUAAUAUCCUGUUUUGGACAGAAUACUCGUGGAAUACUCUUCAUUACUAAUGUGCCUAAGGAUGCCUACAGUGAAUGGUGUCUGAGGCUGAAUUCUCGCAAAACCUACAGUGUAUUAGAAU